UACGGGGGGGGCAAGCGUUGUUCGGAAUUACUGGGCGUAAAGGGCUCGUAGGCGGCCAACUAAGUCGGACGUGAAAUCCCUCGGCUCAACCGGGGAACGGCGUCUGAUACUGGAUGGCUUGAGUUCGGGAGAGGGAUGCGGAAUUCCAGGUGUAGCGGUGAAAUGCGUAGAUAUCUGGAGGAACACCGGUGGCGAAGGCGGCAUCCUGGACCGACACUGACGCUGAUGAGCGAAAGCCAGGGGAGCAAACGGG
rnacentral:rRNA from 1 species